rnacentral:rRNA from 1 species
AUUGAACGCUGGCGGCAUGCCUUACACAUGCAAGUCGAACGGUAACAGGUCUUCGGAUGCUGACGAGUGGCGAACGGGUGAGUAAUACAUCGGAACGUGCCUAGUAGUGGGGGAUAACUACUCGAAAGAGUGGCUAAUACCGAAUGAGAUCUACGGAUGAAAGCAGGGGAUCGCAAGACCUUGUGCUACUAGAGCGGCCGAUGGCAGAGUAGGUAGUUGGUGGGAUAAAAGCUUACCAAGCCGACGAUCUGUAGCUGGUCUGAGAGGACGAUCAGCCACACUGUGACUGAGAAACGGCCCAGACUCCUACGGGAGGCAGCAGUGGGGAAUUUUGGACAAUGGGCGCAAGCCUGAUCCAGCAAUGCCGCGUGCAGGAUGAAGGCCUUCGGGUUGUAAACUGCUUUUGUACGGAACGAAAAGCCCCGGGUUAAUACCCUGGGGUCAUGACGGUACCGUAAGAAUAAGCACCGGCUAACUACGUGCCAGCCGCCGCAGUAA